GUGCCAGCCGCCGCGGUAAUACGGAGGGUGCAAGCGUUAUCCGGAUUCACUGGGUUUAAAGGGUGCGUAGGUGGGAAUGUAAGUCAGUGGUGAAAUCUCCGUGCUUAACAUGGAAACUGCCAUUGAUACUAUGUUUCUUGAAUUUUCUGGAGGUAAGCGGAAUAUGUCAUGUAGCGGUGAAAUGCUUAGAUAUGACAUAGAACACCAAUUGCGAAGGCAGCUUGCUACAGGGAUAUUGACACUGAGGCACGAAAGCGUGGGGAUCAAACAGGAUUAGAUACCCGCGUAGUCC
rnacentral:rRNA from 1 species